rnacentral:lncRNA from 1 species
UCUUCUCUCCCUCUGCCCCUCUCCUGUCCUCAUGUACUUGUUCUCUCUCUCUCUCUCUCUCUCUCUCUCAAAUAAAUAAAUCUUACAAGAAGAAGAACAACAACAACAACAACAACAACACAUCCUCUCUGGGUGGUAAUAAGGAGACAAUAUAUGUACAGACAGCAGACAACCUAGAUCCUUCCAGUUCCAAGGCAGCCUUCCCAUAAUAAGCAAGGAAUCUUUCAUUUUACAACGUCACAAUUCCUCUGGUCUAGAAACUCUUUAGAGCAUACAGCCUCAAGUUAAUUGUUAUAAACAGAAAUCAUGGUCUCAUUCCUUGGUGUGCACCAGAGACUCUUCCCCAGUACAUCCUCCAGGGGGUGCUCACCAGAAUCCAAGUGCUUCUUCCUACCAUCAUUCCCAAGGAUGGAUGGUAAGAAAUCUAUUCCUCUGUUUCCAUAUAUAUGGAAACUAAGGGUCAGAACAAUGAAGUAAUUUUUCAAGGUCACUUAAGCAAGUAAAAGAGCUAGAAUUUGAACAUUGUUCCUUCUGAUUCCAGGGUCUGUGUUUAUUUUCCCAAGAAUACAAGUUGGAGAGGAGUGGACACAUUAGCCUACUGGAUCAGAAGCCCUCUCCAAAAUGCAGAAUAAAGAUAAAGUCACAUUCAGAAACACUGGGGUUUAGGACUUCAACAGAGAAUCUGAGGAGCAAGGGUGGAUGAAGAGGGAAAAAGCCAGAAUCACAGACACAGCUGGGUCUCUCCUGGAACGAAUUCCCACAGACAAACUCUUCACCAGACCAUCAACUCAGAAGGGCAAAACGAGGAGCUUAUUGUGAAGAGUUUGGGCCAAACCACCCAGAGCUUCCUGUGCCAGAGAGGCUCGAUAAAAUCACUCAGCAAAUGGAAAAAUAUUUAUUUUGUGCUUAUUCUAAGAAAUGUGAUCCAUCAAAAUGAGCUGUCAAGUCCUUUCACUUCCAAGGACAGUGUCCACACAGUCCAGGCUGCCUCUGGAGCUGGAAUCAAAUCCAAGUUAGAGGCAAGUGAGGGCCAUACAGAUGUCUUCAAGGGUAUGCCGUAGCACGGACUUAAGGCACCAUCUGCAGACUCAGACUGCCUGGGUUUCAGCCCAACUCUCUCAUCCCUUAGCUGUGAAAAUUGGGCAAGUUGCUUAACCAUCCCUUAAUGCCAUUUUCCC